rnacentral:rRNA from 1 species
UGGGGAAUCUUGCACAAUGGGGGCAACCCUGAUGCAGCGACGCCGCGUGAGCGAUGAAGCCCUUCGGGGCGUAAAGCUCUUUCGACCGGAACGAUAAUGACGGUACCGGGAGAAGAAGCUGCGGCUAACUACGUGCCAGCAGCCGCGGUAAUACGUAGGCAGCAAGCGUUGUUCGGAGUUACUGGGCGUAAAGAGUGCGUAGGCGGUUUUCUAAGUUCGGUGUGAAAUCUCCCGGCUUAACUGGGAGGGUGCGCCGAAGACUGGGAAGCUGGAGUGUGGGAAAGGCAGGCGGAAUUCCUGGUGUAGCGGUGGAAUGCGUAGAUAUCAGGAGGAACACCGGCGGUGUAGACGGCUUGCUAGACCAUAACUGACGCUGAGGCACGAAAGCGUGGGUAGCAAACA